rnacentral:rRNA from 1 species
UACGUAGGGGGCUAGCGUUGUCCGGAAUCAUUGGGCGUAAAGAGCGUGUAGGCGGCCCGGUAAGUCCGUUGUGAAAGUCAAAGGCUCAACCUUUGAAAGCCGAUGGAUACUGUGAGGCUAGAGUCCGGAAGAGGCGAGUGGAAUUCCUGGUGUAGCGGUGGAAUGCGCAGAUAUCAGGAGGAACACCAAUAGCGAAGGCAGCUCGCUGGGACGGUACUGACGCUAAGGCGCGAAAGCGUGGGGAGCGAACAGG